GAUGAAGAACGUAGUGAAAUGCGAUACGUAAUGUGAAUUGCAGAAUUCAGUGAAUCAUCGAAUCUUUGAACGCACAUUGCGCCUGCCAGCACUCUGGCAGGCAUGCCUGUUCGAGCGUCAUUUCAACCAUCAAGCCCUAGGCUUGCGUUGGAGCCCUGCGGCUGCCGCAGGCCCCUAAAAGCAGUGGCGGGCUCGCUAUCACACCGAGUGCAGUAGAUUACUCUUCGCUCAGGGCGUGUGGCGGGUUCCAGCCGUGAAACCCCCUACUUCUCAAGGUUGACCUCGGAUCAGGUAGGAAUACCCGCUGAACUUAAGCAUAUCAAUAAGCGGAGGA
rnacentral:misc_RNA from 1 species